AGUGAACGCUGGCGGUAGGCCUAACACAUGCAAGUCGAACGGCAGCACAGUAAGAGCUUGCUCUUACGGGUGGCGAGUGGCGGACGGGUGAGGAAUACAUCGGAAUCUACUUUUUCGUGGGGGAUAACGUAGGGAAACUUACGCUAAUACCGCAUACGACCUACGGGUGAAAGCAGGGGAUCUUCGGACCUUGCGCGAUUGAAUGAGCCGAUGUCGGAUUAGCUAGUUGGCGGGGUAAAGGCCCACCAAGGCGACGAUCCGUAGCUGGUCUGAGAGGAUGAUCAGCCACACUGGAACUGAGACACGGUCCAGACUCCUACGGGAGGCAGCAGUGGGGAAUAUUGGACAAUGGGCGCAAGCCUGAUCCAGCCAUACCGCGUGGGUGAAGAAGGCCUUCGGGUUGUAAAGCCCUUUUGUUGGGAAAGAAAAGCAGCAGGUUAAUACCCCGCUGUUCUGACGGUACCCAAAGAAUAAGCACCGGCUACUUCGUGC
rnacentral:rRNA from 1 species